rnacentral:rRNA from 1 species
GACGAACGCUGGCGGCGCGCCUAACACAUGCAAGUCGAACGGAGCUUAGAGAGCUUGCUUUUUAAGCUUAGUGGCGAACGGGUGAGUAACGCGUGAGGAACCUGCCCUAGAGUGGGGGACAACAGUUGGAAACGACUGCUAAUACCGCAUAAGCCCACGGUACCGCAUGGUACUGAGGGAAAAGGAUUUAUUCGCUUUAGGAUGGACUCGCGUCCAAUUAGCUAGUUGGUGAGGUAACGGCCCACCAAGGCGACGAUUGGUAGCCGGACUGAGAGGUUGAACGGCCACAUUGGGACUGAGACACGGCCCAGACUCCUACGGGAGGCAGCAGUGGGGGAUAUUGCACAAUGGGGGAAACCCUGAUGCAGCGACGCCGCGUGGAGGAAGAAGGUUUUCGGAUUGUAAACUCCUGUCGUUAGGGACGAUAAUGACGGUACCUAACAAGAAAGCACCGGCUAACUACGUGCCAGCAGCCGCGGUAAAACGUAGGGUGCAAGCGUUGUCCGGAAUUACUGGGUGUAAAGGGAGCGCAGGCGGGAAGACAAGUUGGAAGUGAAAACCAUGGGCUCAACCCAUGAAUUGCUUUCAAAACUGUUUUUCUUGAGUAGUGCAGAGGUAGAUGGAAUUCCCGGUGUAGCGGUGGAAUGCGUAGAUAUCGGGAGGAACACCAGUGGCGAAGGCGGUCUACUGGGCACCAACUGACGCUGAGGCUCGAAAGCAUGGGUAGCAAACAAGAUUAGAUACCCUGGUAGUCCAUGCCGUC